rnacentral:rRNA from 1 species
CAGUAGCCGCGGGAAUACGAAGGGGGCUAGCGUUGUUCGGAAUUACUGGGCGUAAAGCGCACGUAGGCGGAUAUUUAAGUCAGGGGUGAAAUCCCAGAGCUCAACUCUGGAACUGCCUUUGAUACUGGGUAUCUUGAGUAUGGAAGAGGUGAGUGGAAUUCCGAGUGUAGAGGUGAAAUUCGCAGAUAUUCGGAGGAACACCGGUGGCGAAGGCGGCUCACUGGUCCAUUACUGACGCUGAGGUGCGAAAGCGUGGGGAGCAAACAGGAUUAGAUACCCCCGUAGUCCCUGUCUCUUAUAC